AGCCAGCCUGUCCUUUGAAGUUUCAAGGUCAGGCAUUGACUUCUCUCUAGCUAUGAAAGUCUGAGAUAGCAU
rnacentral:miRNA from 1 species